rnacentral:rRNA from 1 species
CGGUACCUCACAACAACCUAGAGGAGCCUGUCAAAUAACCGAUACUCCACGAUUAACCCAACCCACUCUAGCCUUAUCAGUCUAUAUACCGCCGUCGCCAGCAUACCUUAUAAAAGAAACAAAGUAAGCUAAAUAGCAAAUAACACUAACACGACAGGUCGAGGUGUAACUCAUGAGCGGGACCAAGAUGGGCUACAUUUUCUAACAUAGAACACACAAAUCGAACUGUGAAACAAGAAAUUGAAGGCGGAUUUAGCAGUAUACUAAGAAUAAAAUACCUAGUCGAAACUAAUGCAAUGAGGUGCGUACACACCGCCCGUCAUCCCUGUCCAACCACAAAAAAAUAUAUAAUUAAAACACUCAUCCAAAGCAGGGCAAGUCGUAACAAGGUAAGUGGUACA